CUGUAAAUGUCGAAAUAAUCCCCCAGAUUUCACUACAAUAAAGGAGAAUAGGGGCUACUAAGGAAUCAAAAAGUUUUUCCAGAAGUUUACAAGGGUUAUCUAAUCCUAUUGUUUUCUUUAUUUUAAAAUACGCUUUCCUAGCUUUUUCCAUAAGCGAAGUGAUGGCGACAUUAAAACUGCCAUUAUAUCUAAUAUUUAUACCCAAGUAACAAUAAGUAUUAACUGUCUCUAAGGAUUUGCCAUUAUAAUAAAAUUCGUUCAGAAAAGACUUUCCGUUUGAAUUAAAAACCAUUACUUUUGAUUUCUCUGUAUUGACUUGCAAUUUCCAAGAAGAACAAUAAUUACUUAAUGUAUUGAGACAAUUUUGCAAACCCUCUUUGCUAUCAGAUAAUAAUACAAUAUCAUCUGCAUACAAAAGUGCAUUUAAUGAAACAUCACCAACUACAACUGGAUCUGCAUUGAUAUUUUCCAAGUCUUUAAGUAUGUCGUUUAUAAAAAAAUUAAAGAGAAGAGGACUUAAUACAUCUCCUUGUUUAACACCACAGUUUGAUUCAAACGAUGGGCUAAGACCAUUAGAAAAUUUAAUUCUACUUGUUGUAUUGGAGUACAUUGAAAAUAUUAUAUUAAAAAUAUGUUUUGGUACAUUACUUUGUAGUAGUUUAUGAAAUAAUCCUAUUCUCCAAAUUGUAUCAAACGCUUUUCUGAGAUCAAUGAAAGCAGC
rnacentral:lncRNA from 1 species